rnacentral:rRNA from 1 species
ACCUUUGGUAACUGCUGCAUUACCGGGGUAACUUAAUUCAACAUCGAGGUGUCAAACUUUAUCUUCGAUACCUUCUCUAAAAUAAAAUUAACCUGUUAUCCCUAAAGUAGUUUUUAUUUAUUUGUUGUCAUCGAUUUUUUAAACUUAAGACAGGUCACUAACCCCACUUUGUGAUUGUUAAAUUUAUAAAUUAAACAAUAAAUAACUAUUUUAAAAAAAAAAACAGUUUAUGUACUGGUUGCUAUUCUUUUUUUUUAAAAUGCCGUUGCCCCAACGAAACUAACCCCCUUAUUAAUGAUUCAAUUAAAAUUAAAUUUUUAAUUCUUACUGAUUUAAUAAGGUUAUAGUUAAACUUUAUAGGGUCUUCUCGUCUUACAGUUUCAAACAGCAUCUUCACUGUUAUUUAAAUUUUAACUGGUUUAUAUUCAAGACAGUGGAAACCUCGUAAAACCAUUCACCUACGUUCGUCAAUUAAACAACUAUUUAUUUUCCUACAUUAUCACCGUCAAGAUACAGCGGCCGUUGAACUCAAUUUAAAAAUUAAUAAUUUUAAUAUAUAAGUCACUGGGCAGGUAUCGCCCUGAAUAGGGUGUCAGGGUUAUGUUUUUGGUAAACAGUCGA